rnacentral:misc_RNA from 1 species
GAUAAACAUAAAGGAUAUAUAUGUGUAGACACUAUAUUUUGGUCAGCCAUCAAAUUCACAAUUUGUAAAAUUUGUAAUGCAAUUUUAAAAUUCAUGAAAAUGUUUUUCUUGAAUGGAUUUUCGAUUUGAACAUUACCCGAUCUUGAUAAGUUACUUCGAUUAUGGUCCGAUCUCAAGUCACCUUUCCAAUUUUAUAAUAUUCGAAAUCACUCUUCAAAUGUCUCAAAGUUUUGAUCGAUAUUCAAUCUCAGGGUUAUUCGAUCUCAUGUCUGUGCGAAAUGGUUUUCUGAUCUCUUUAAGGCAAGGUCUCAUGUUCUUUGAUAAUCGAUCUCAGGAUCAUCUAGUUUUAUGUUCAACUUUAUUCAGUUGAUUUCCAAUCUCAAUUAGUUUCAUGAGCACUAAUAAUUUGGAGUUAAUUUUUCUGAUCUAUUCAGUACUUGUGAAUAUAAUGCGGUCUGAUGUUUUUCCGAUCUCAUUAAGAAAAUUGAUCAUGAAAAGAGUUUAUCAUUUCAAAAGGCAGAGAGUACAAAGUCAUUCAGCAGGAGGGUCUCCCCCAGCCCGAUCUUCAGUUAUAUUUUCAACAUUCACUCCCUCCUCUCUUUCUUGUUCGCCUUCACUCUUUGCCUCGACACCUGGGGCAAGUUCCUCGAGCCAGGUGAAGUCCUCGUUGGGAUAGCGUUUGAUGAGCUCGGCAAGGAGAUCACUGUG